UAAAACAUUGUUUUUAUGUUUCUUCUGUGUGCAGUUGUGUUCAUUUGUUUCGAUUUCUCCAUGAGAUUGUCUCACGUGAGUCUCAACUGCCGCGACCUUGUUACUAUUGAUUAUCCAUUAU